UCCCCAUCAUUAUCUCAUGUCAAGCUUGACACAGUGGAGAGCAAAGUUACAGUUCCCCAUCAUUAUCUCAUGUCAAGCUUGACACAGUGGAGAGCAAACCAAGAUCCCUUUGGAUCCUUUUCAUGACAGUACUAUAGAAACAGUCAGAUCUUCAGAACUAGCAGCCUAAUGAGGACAUGGGAUCUUUGAAUUAACAAUGAGUUCUAUUAGUAUUUGAUUACAGAAAAAUGACGACAUUUAUUUGGUCUUUUUUUUCUUCCUCUUCAUGUGAUUUAUUUGGCAAAAUGUACUUUUUUUGUAAGUUACUGUAAAUGCUGCACUUUCCAUAUGCACCAAUAGAGGGCAGACUCCGGCAGUAUCAGUGGCUGGCAUUGGUUCACAGUCAGUCCCAUCUCUCUGGAGAUGAUGCAGAUUUUAUAUGUAAAUCUAACUGAUUUGUCAAAGAUCUGAGCAGAUGUUUUAAAUGUUAUUUGGAUGCAAACUGUCACUUUAAAGUUGUGAAAAUUAAGAUCACUACAUUUUAAACUAUCUAGGUUUGGUCUUCAGGGGAAGUAGUAGGAAGGUUGGUUUGAGGUUAAAGGUUAAAGGCUGACCCCUGGAAUGAAGUGUCUGUGCCGCUGUAGAGAGACCAGUGCUUUUUCAAAGGUGUUAUAAUUAUUAUAUUAUUUUGUUUUCUUUCUUUUAUGGCUUCUGUGGAAAUUGAACAUUUUGGAAAUGUGUUGUUCAUUAGCCAUUUUUUGUUGAUGAUGCUGUAAUUAUAAAACAUAUCUGACUGGGAUGAACUUUAAUAUAUGUUGUUGGUUUUGACAUUUUGUGUGUUUCAAUGUGUUAAUUUGUUUGGUGAACACACAGUUACAUGUACACAUUUACUGUAAUUUAAUGUAAGGAGAGACUAACACUGACUUAUUUAAUACGUUUCACCAUUUAUCAAUAAGUUAACAUGACACACAUAAAGAAGUGAAUACAGUAAUACAGUCAAACCACAAUAGAUCAUUUAUAAGGUGAAGUAUCAUUCCCCCUUUUUAGUGGCACUGCAGCUAAUUUGGGCAGUAGCG
ensembl:lncRNA